GACGAACGCUGGCGGCGUGCUUAACACAUGCAAGUGGAGCGACGAACCAGGCUUCGGCCUGGGGCAGAGCCGCGAACGGGUGAGUAACACGUGGGUAACCUGCCUCGAUGACCCGGGACAACCCGGGGAAACCCGGGCUAAUACCGGAUGUGCUCCUUCACAUCAGUGAAGACAGGAAAGGAAGCUUCGGCCUCCGCAUCGAGAUGGGCCCGCGGCCCA
rnacentral:rRNA from 1 species